AUUGAACGCUGGCGGCAUGCCUUACACAUGCAAGUCGAACGGCAGCGGGGGAGAAGCUUGCUUUUCCUGCCGGCGAGUGGCGAACGGGUGAGUAAUACAUCGGAACGUGCCCUGUAGUGGGGGAUAACUAGUCGAAAGAUUAGCUAAUACCGCAUACGACCUGAGGGUGAAAGUGGGGGACCGCAAGGCCUCAUGCUAUAGGAGCGGCCGAUGUCUGAUUAGCUAGUUGGUGGGGUAAAGGCCUACCAAGGCGACGAUCAGUAGCUGGUCUGGGAGGACGAUCAGCCAAACUGGGACUAAGACACGGACCAGACUCCUACGGGAGGCAGCAGUGGGGAAUUUUGGACAAUGGGCGAAAGCCUGAUCCAGCAAUGCCGCGUGUGUGAAGAAGGCCUUCGGGUUGUAAAGCGCUUUUGUCCGGAAAGAAAUGGCUCUGGUUAAUACCUGGGGUCGAUGACGGUACCGGAAGAAUAAGGACCGGCUAACUACGUGCCAGCAGCCGCCGUAA
rnacentral:rRNA from 1 species